rnacentral:snRNA from 1 species
GUACUCGCUUCAGCGGUUCAUUUACCAAAAUUGGAGUAAUACAGAGAAGAUCAGCAUGGCUCCUGAGCAAGGAUGAUACCCAAAAUCGUAGAGCUUUCCAUAAUUUUU